rnacentral:misc_RNA from 1 species
AAGGGUUUCAUUCACUCAGUUAAAUGAAAAUUAAGAGUAUAAGACCUCUAAAGAGAAGGGUCACUGCUAGAACUACCACUAGUUGUUGAAUAUCACUUGAUUAUGAUACAGAUUUUGUUCAAUGGAUCUACUUGAAAAUAAAACAACAAAAAAUAAGUAUGAAAAAUCCAUUCCUACAUUCUUAUAAUGUACAUAUGGUAAAAUGCUCUUACAAUAAAG